AAAUUGAAGAGUUUGAUCAUGGCUCAGAUUGAACGCUGGCGGCAGGCCUAACACAUGCAAGUCGAACGGUAACAGGAAACAGCUUGCUGUUUCGCUGACGAGUGGCGGACGGGUGAGUAAUGUCUGGGAAACUGCCUGAUGGAGGGGGAUAACUACUGGAAACGGUAGCUAAUACCGCAUAACGUCGCAAGACCAAAGAGGGGGACCCUCGGGCCUCUUGCCAUCGGAUGUGCCCAGAUGGGAUUAGCUUGUUGGUGGGGUAACGGCUCACCAAGGCGACGAUCCCUAGCUGGUCUGAGAGGAUGACCAGCCACACUGGAACUGAGACACGGUCCAGACUCCUACGGGAGGCAGCAGUGGGGAAUAUUGCACAAUGGGCGCAAGCCUGAUGCAGCCAUGCCGCGUGUAUGAAGAAGGCCUUCGGGUUGUAAAGUACUUUCAGCGGGGAGGAAGGGAGUAAAGUUAAUACCUUUGCUCAUUGACGUUACCCGCAGAAGAAGCACCGGCUAACUCCGUGCCAGCAGCCGCGGUAAUACGGAGGGUGCAAGCGUUAAUCGGAAUUACUGGGCGUAAAGCGCACGCAGGCGGUUUGUUAAGUCAGAUGUGAAAUCCCCGGGCUCAACCUGGGAACUGCAUCUGAUACUGGCAAGCUUGAGUCUCGUAGAGGGGGGUAGAAUUCCAGGUGUAGCGGUGAAAUGCGUAGAGAUCUGGAGGAAUACCGGU
rnacentral:rRNA from 1 species